CCCCAGUAUAAAUACAAUAAUCACAUGCCCAUAGAAAGAUCUUUUUGUUGCUAAGGACACAGCCUGUAGUCUCCCAACAGAGCCAAGAAACUAAGCACCCAAGGAUACUGGGACUGAAAGAGACUCAAUCUGUGCCUCUCCUCAUCCCAAGUCCGUCUUUACAGAAGUAUUUCUUCUCGAUUUUCUGGUAUUUUCUAUCACAGACACAAUACAGGUGGCUCAAGCCCUGUACUGAUUUCCUCGGAUCACAACAAAGUGUGGUCCUGGCUUUGUUAACACCUCAGAAAUGAACAGUGAGAAAAAGCCAGCGUGCAAGACUGACCAAUUCUGAUUUCACCAUUGUCACCAACCUAAAGGGCUCAGGCAGCCUCCAACCACAGGUCCUCUGGGUCAUGGCUGCUGACAAAAGCUAGCCCUUCCCAGCACAGAAACCAACAGAGACGAGAUCUUCAUGCCCGCCAGCCGCACCCUUCCCUGCACCCACCUCUGAGGCGGCAGCCUACCGUGGUGGAAAAAGUAUCAGGAACAGCAGUGGCUGCUUUAAGAAAGAACUUUCC
rnacentral:lncRNA from 1 species